UACGUCCAUGCGUGAGCGUGAGCUCCUCGCCUGGCCCUGGGUAGUGCACCUGCUGCCCUCCAGGUUGCCCGUCAGAUUCCGAGGCCCACCGGGGAAAACCCCAUGCCCUGGUGCUUCCCUUGGGCAGCUCUCUCCGGAGUCGUCACGGUGAGGGAGGUGGGCCUGCUCCCUGGUGGGGCGGUUGCCAUCUCGUCGUGGUUGCACUGUCUUCGCUGGGGUUGCACGUGGGUGUGGCAGCCAUCGAUUCUGGCGGCCGCGACCAUGCAAAGAGGGACUGUCAUACUUUCCAAACAGACCUCCUUGUGAGGCACCUGGACUAGUCUGAAGCCACAAUCCUGAUGAAGCUCGUGGUAAAAACGCCUGUGUGGGUGAGAACCUAAGCCCAAGUAAGCUCCCAACUAGCACCUGCUACAGCUGGAUGAGUGAGGCCACUUUGGACCUUCCAGCCAUCUCAACACCCAAGCCAACACCGUGGGAAGCAGAAGAACCUUCCAGUCAGUCAACAGAAUUGUAAGAAAAUAGGAUAACAGCAGUUGGCAGUGUCUACCUGGAAGACUGUAUUGAAAAUGAUUCUGAGGCUGAUGAUCUAUGGUCCAUUAUUGCUGUCUGCCAUGAGCAUGGGAAUGGAGAAUGGGAGCACAUAUGGCAUGUGUUUACAUUCUUGCCUUCCCCCUUGUCUGGUGCCGUUUUGUCCUCAGGGCUCUCCUAAGAGUCUUGAAGGUGCAAAAAUGGACAUUUUUUUGGACAAACCUUGUGCUCACAUAAGGAGUGUCUUGGUCAACUCCACGGUGCACACUAAGCAGGCUCUGUGAACCUCCCACCUUUCUUCUCCCCCAAGUAGAGCUGCUGACCUAGUUCCCGGCUACUGAGAUCCUGACUAAUUGUCAUCCCUUGCAAGCAGACCUUCACUGAACCUUAGGAGCAGAAAAUUCAGAAACAAAAGCAAGAAAUAAAAGAGCUGUCAGAAAGAAUCUACAUAGAACCCUGAAGUUGUGCUUUCAUAACUGAAUAAAUAACUCCUUGAGCAAUAAUUUGUUUGCAAGCUGUUAAUUAGCAGCAUAAUUAAUUUCUGCAGAUUAUAAAUAACAGAGCACAAAGUGGCAUUCCCAGUAGAGCCAAUGAAAAAUUACCUAAACCAUUUUAAGAACCAAAAAUAGUUCACAAUGUAACAGAUUUAAAGGGGCUCUAGAAUCCGGGUGGUGCCAUUUUCUUUUUCCUCUGGGUUAAAAAGAAAGAAAAAAAAAAUUCCCCAGAAAACUCAAC